AACGAACGCUGGCGGCAUGCCUAACACAUGCAAGUCGAACGAGGCCUUCGGGUCUAGUGGCGCACGGGUGCGUAACGCGUGGGAAUCUGCCCUUGGGUUCGGAAUAACUCAGAGAAAUUUGAGCUAAUACCGGAUGAUGACGUAAGUCCAAAGAUUUAUCGCCCAAGGAUGAGCCCGCGUAAGAUUAGCUUGUUGGUAGGGUAAUGGCCUACCAAGGCGACGAUCUUUAGCUGGUCUGAGAGGAUGAUCAGCCACACUGGGACUGAGACACGGCCCAGACUCCUACGGGAGGCAGCAGUGGGGAAUAUUGGACAAUGGGCGAAAGCCUGAUCCAGCAAUGCCGCGUGAGUGAUGAAGGCCUUAGGGUUGUAAAGCUCUUUUACCAGGGAUGAUAAUGACAGUACCUGGAGAAUAAGCUCCGGCUAACUCCGUG
rnacentral:rRNA from 1 species